ensembl:lncRNA
GAAAAAGCGAGCAUGCAGAACAGAGCAGCUUGCUGCUUGAAUUCAUCUGAGUGCAAACUCAGUGCCGCUGUAUCACUGCUUCGAUCAGAAGACAAAAGCAACCGCAGUUUCUAAUCCCCCACAGGUAUGAACCAAGAACAUUCUUUUUGUCUUACAGCUGAAACCCGGCACAGUAACAAUCCCAACAGAACACGGAAAGCACAGGAGCCACACCAAACUCAUUUCUUUCUCAUCCCCGCCAUAUGCUUUAGGUCAUAAAAGCAACCCACUGUCAAAUUAAGACGUUUCCACACCAGAAAUUCUAAGGAGAUCAUCUGGUCAUGGAGAAAAAAAUCAAUGAGAUAUGUUGUAUGUGAACUUUGCAUACGAUAAUUAUUCCAAUCCGGUUAAUUUUCUGAUUUUCUUGCUUUCCAGGUUAACAUCACUGGCACGGUAUUCGUUAUAUAAGCGUUGCAGUAAAACCUCAAAGCAAACUUGUUAAUCCUUAACAACACAUACCAUUCUGUAUUCAUCAGAAGUUCUGUCAGUUCAAAAUUAACCGUCAGAGUAACGAAGAAGAGCUAAAAUAUAAAAGGAUUUUUUUUAAGCUAGCGACUGGCAGGAGAAUAUAAUAAGGAAAGUCCGAGGAAUUGUUCGGACAGUGUAAGGCAAGCAAUGAAGCAUAAAGGAAAAUUCAGGCGGGCUAUCAAAUACGAUCAUCCCAAGUGAAGUUUAGUUAGCUGUUGAAUUUGUAGUUUUAAAAAUUCACAGCUGAACCCAUUUGUGUCCUCAUGGCUUCACAAAGUGGUAGAGGAAGAAAGUAGUUUCUACCACAGUUCAGACAGGCUCUAAUUUACCCAAGGUAGAAUAAUCUGCAGCAGUUUAAAAAUUAAGCAUUGAUCUCCUGACUCAGCCUACUGCUCUCAUCAGAAGACACGAUCAUUCUUUUAAAGUGUCGACUGAGAUGUUUUAUUGAAUGUCUGAGCUAGCAACAGUGGGGUCCAAACUCCACAAUCACGUAUGUGGUAUUUGACAGCUUUCAGGUUGCAAGGCCAUGUAAGUUUUCUGCUGUUGAAGGCAACAGGCUGCUUUAGGCUGAAUGUCUUUAUGUUAAUCCCAAACCAUAAUGCAAACCCUUGCUUUAUGGGGUUCUGAUGAAGUUUUGAUAUCAGACUAAAAAAUACCUUCUACAUUAAUUUUCUACCUUAUCAAUAGGUUUAGUACCUGGUAACGUACAUUUUGGAAGAUUAAGUACAUUUAUGUUUCUCCAAAUCUGGUCUAUUCAUUGUAACUGUAAUUGUGAAACUAUUUAGGUGAGAUAUAGAUCAUUCGCUUUCGAUCAUAUUGCUGACGCUAUCUUUUGAUUUAAUUACAUUGCAUUUAAAAACCCAUUUAUAAUUAGAUGCUACCUGGCAACAUCUUAGAGGACCUGCCUGUGAGUAACCACAAAGUCCUUCCAACUUCUUUCUGUGAUGGCUUUAAUAAGCUCAGAUAUGGUCUAGCAGCCAACAGACAGAUCACAGCCUGCUGAGUAGAUCAGUAUUAUCUUGCCAUAUUAUUUUUCCCUUGGAAAAGUCAUCUCUUUUUCCUAAGCAUAAGCUGUUUCUUAUAAAAUGAAUGAGGAGUUUGUGCAAAACUUUCUGCUAAGGAGAAAACUUUCGAAGAGCAAUCACUGCUGUGGCCCCUCAUGCGGCAAUGCUGAUUUCAUGUUAAGAAGCAUCUCUGAAUGGAAGGAAAUCAAUUGAAUCUGUGCAGAGCACAGACAGGAUGUGGAAUGCCAGAUAGGCAUUCGCUUAAACUGUUUGGAGUCAAUGGAGAGAAGCAAAGCACAAUUUGAUCUGUUUUAGGCAUCUUCAGUAGGGUGAGAUGAAUCACACCUUAAAAAUGGCACUGCUGACUGCUGAGGCCAUUGAGACAACCAGCUCCAAUAUAGGCAUCUGCACCAUAGACAUCCGAAAAUCUCUGCAAAGCUAAUUGACCGGGCUCACAGGAGAUCCUAAUAUGGAACAGCCUUCCUGCACCACCACUUCAGCCUUUCAGACUGGCAGCUUUAUUUAGUCUGAAAAUCCUUUUGAGGAAGAGACCAUCUUUUUACUUGGAAUUAGCAUUGCACUUGCAACCAGAAAUGUGACAGGCAAGGCGGUAAAGCUUCUGCUAACAACAGAAACUUCACCAAGUGAACAUACACUAACAUCCCUCACAGAGCUACAACAGUGUGUGUGUCAGUGCAGCCAAUAGGAUUUAUCAGCGUGUACUUGAACACUUCUGCCUAGAAUGUCGAAUGGCCAAGUAACAGAACUAAAUCCAGUCCUGUCUGUAGGGCACGCAGGCAAAGACUACAAUUCUGUCUCCUUUGAAGUCAGCAGUAAAUCUGUCUUUGGCUCUGAUGGCAGCAGCCUUUAAAAUAAGGAGUCCAGAGCAUAACGUGCAUAAGAUAAAAAAGAAAUCACAUUAUUAUUUACCAGCACUUCUCAGACUGUACGUUGAGGCAUCAUCACUCAGAAAGGAAAAGAGAACAACUUUAUAAGAAACAGUAUUUCACAAUACAUAUAUAAAGUAAACUAAAUAUGACUGGUCUCUGUUGCAGGUGAAACAUCUUUUCCACUGUCUGUUUUUUUACAGUAUUUUUUUUUUCAUGCAUUUUACCACCUCUUUAUGCUAACCGUGGAUGAACUAAUAAUUCCUAUUUUAAUCAAUCUGUCAUCCAUUCUUCUCCGUGCAGGACUUCCUUCCUUAUAAACAUUUUGAUCAGAAAGGGUAGUAUUUCCUUCAUGUUAUGCAAAGCUUGGGUUACAAAUUACCAACCUAUGCAUGUUUGUCCCUUAUUUAUAUAGCUUUUAAAGGAAUAAAAGCUGUCAAAAAACUUGCUCUCCCUGACUUUUUUGGCUUAUUUUUUAAGAUUUCAUUGAUCUGAUUUCACUUUUACCUCAUUUCAGCUGCAACUGUUAACCGAGAUCAAAAUGAUGGAGACUGCCGUCUACUGGAUACUGAGUCAAUGAUGAAAGAUAGCAAAUUUGCCUACUCAGAGGGGUCAAUACUGCAGAUUUCUUCCUUUUGCUGAAUGUUUUCCUGUGGCUAUACCAAGAUUUCCAAGGUGAACCUUUUCUUUUCCAUCCAUAUUCCUUUUUUGAAUUUGUUCACACUAUUUUUGCCAGCUUUCCCAUCUCCACCUAACUUAAUGAGCAACUGUGAAAACCAUUUAUAUCUAAUUAUUGUCAUUUACAUUGAAGUCUAAGAAAGAUUUGAUAUUGUUCUCUGAAAUAAUUAAUUUAGCCUUUCCAGCUCUUCAGAUGAAGUCCAGUGCUGAUCCAUAAAAUUCCCAACCACAUAAAAAAGAAUAGGGUAAGAUUAUUCUGUUUCUUUUUUCCUGUAGCAAGUUUAAUUAAAAAGACAAUGCUCCACCCACCUUCCAGUACUAGUCUAGAAUGGUAGGUCUUAAAUAGCAAAAUUAAUGCCAGCAAAAGAUCUGCUCUAUUUUUCCCCCUGUAAACCUGGUAAGUUGUUCAUGUGUAUAUCAGGGCAUAAUUGAGCUAGGCUCCUGGCACGUAUGAGCAAAUACUUGAAGGUAUACUUAGGUGACAACAUCACCAUUACUUUCUUCUGACUAUUCCACAAUGGAAAGAUAAUGUAAUUGCUUCAGCUAAACAAAGGGCAUUGGUUAUUUCCUUGUCGCACUGAAGUCUAAGACAGUGAGCUUCUGUAUAUAAUAAGUGAAACGACUGCUAUUGCUGAAAACAAAGGUGAAACAUCAGAGAUCAUAAAAUAUGGGAAUUUUCCUGGCUGUCCUGUGACAGCUUCAUGCCUGAAAAAAAUUAGUAGAGAGACCAGAAAAGGCAGCAAGGAAGCACCGAGCUCAAAAGAAAGAGCACAGUUCUUGGUGAAACAGCAACUUGCACACCCAAUUCCUUGCAUUUGGGGAAUCAGGACUAUGCAGUCCCCUGUAACAUGCAGGGCUGGAUCAAAUAUAUUUAAGAGGAAUCUGCAGAGCCCCAUACUUCGGCUAAUUUCUGUUUUAAUCCACGAGAGACUUUCUCAGGGAUUGGCAGAGUCAAAUCAACACCAGCUGACAAAAAUGAAAUUACUGCAGACCUGCAGACAUCUAUGCCUCGUUUGAUACACAUCUCCAGGGAACGUUUUUGCUUUGCUCCGGAUCUGUGGAAUUGCAGUGUUUAAAACAUGGGCAACGAAAGCUUGCAAAGAAGAAAAAUGUUAUUGCAACUUACAGAAAUAGUGAUUGUGAUACAUUAGCUUAUGUAAUAGCGAUUACUUGUAAACUUUUUUUUAUUUCUUGUAAAACUUUUUGUUCCUUAAGCUGCAGAAUGCCAUGAAAUCACCGAUACCGUCGUAUUGUUCCCAUUAGAUCUCGUUUCUGCAGAUUCCUGCAAGAGAGGAGCCAAGAGCUGUAACGUUCGUAGUGCCUGACAACAUUAAUCAUCGAUCCUAUUGCGAACUGCUUCUGGGUGGGAUGUUUCUGGGUUUGUAACUACAUAUGGCUCCUAUCAUUUGCGGCUUCCGCAAGCAAUUCUAGUUAUCCUUCAUUAAAAAGACUUUAAAUAAAAGGUUUUAAAGAUUCUCCAGCGCUAGCGAAGCCAUGGGAAGGCAGCAACCUCUCUGCUCGGUAAGGGCAGGGGUGAGGAGCAGCUCCGUGGCCCCAACGCUGGGGCUGCCCUUGCUGUUGGUAGCUGCUCC